GGUUAAGCGACUAAGCGUACACGGUGGAUGCCCUGGCAGUCAGAGGCGAUGAAGGACGUGCUAAUCUGCGAUAAGCGUCGGUAAGGUGAUAUGAACCGUUAUAACCGGCGAUUUCCGAAUGGGGAAACCCAGUGUGAUUCGUCACACUAUCAUUAACUGAAUCCAUAGGUUAAUGAGGCGAACCGGGGGAACUGAAACAUCUAAGUACCCCGAGGAAAAGAAAUCAACCGAGAUUCCCCCAGUAGCGGCGAGCGAACGGGGAGGAGCCCAGAGCCUGAAUCAGUGUGUGUGUUAGUGGAAGCGUCUGGAAAGGCGCGCGAUACAGGGUGACAGCCCCGUACACAAAAAUGCACAUGCUGUGAGCUCGAUGAGUAGGGCGGGACACGUGGUAUCCUGUCUGAAUAUGGGGGGACCAUCCUCCAAGGCUAAAUACUCCUGACUGACCGAUAGUGAACCAGUACCGUGAGGGAAAGGCGAAAAGAACCCCGGCGAGGGGAGUGAAAAAGAACCUGAAACCGUGUACGUACAAGCAGUGGGAGCCUCUUUUAUGGGGUGACUGCGUACCUUUUGUAUAAUGGGUCAGCGACUUAUAUUCUGUAGCAAGGUUAACCGAAUAGGGGAGCCGAAGGGAAACCGAGUCUUAACUGGGCGUUAAGUUGCAGGGUAUAGACCCGAAACCCGGUGAUCUAGCCAUGGGCAGGUUGAAGGUUGGGUAACACUAACUGGAGGACCGAACCGACUAAUGUUGAAAAAUUAGCGGAUGACUUGUGGCUGGGGGUGAAAGGCCAAUCAAACCGGGAGAUAGCUGGUUCUCCCCGAAAGCUAUUUAGGUAGCGCCUCGUGAACUCAUCUCCGGGGGUAGAGCACUGUUUCGGCAAGGGGGUCAUCCCGACUUACCAACCCGAUGCAAACUGCGAAUACCGGAGAAUGUUAUCACGGGAGACACACGGCGGGUGCUAACGUCCGUCGUGAAGAGGGAAACAACCCAGACCGCCAGCUAAGGUCCCAAAGUCAUGGUUAAGUGGGAAACGAUGUGGGAAGGCCCAGACAGCCAGGAUGUUGGCUUAGAAGCAGCCAUCAUUUAAAGAAAGCGUAAUAGCUCACUGGUCGAGUCGGCCUGCGCGGAAGAUGUAACGGGGCUAAACCAUGCACCGAAGCUGCGGCAGCGACACUAUGUGUUGUUGGGUAGGGGAGCGUUCUGUAAGCCUGUGAAGGUGUGCUGUGAGGCAUGCUGGAGGUAUCAGAAGUGCGAAUGCUGACAUAAGUAACGAUAAAGCGGGUGAAAAGCCCGCUCGCCGGAAGACCAAGGGUUCCUGUCCAACGUUAAUCGGGGCAGGGUGAGUCGACCCCUAAGGCGAGGCCGAAAGGCGUAGUCGAUGGGAAACAGGUUAAUAUUCCUGUACUUGGUGUUACUGCGAAGGGGGGACGGAGAAGGCUAUGUUGGCCGGGCGACGGUUGUCCCGGUUUAAGCGUGUAGGCUGGUUUUCCAGGCAAAUCCGGAAAAUCAAGGCUGAGGCGUGAUGACGAGGCACUACGGUGCUGAAGCAACAAAUGCCCUGCUUCCAGGAAAAGCCUCUAAGCAUCAGGUAACAUCAAAUCGUACCCCAAACCGACACAGGUGGUCAGGUAGAGAAUACCAAGGCGCUUGAGAGAACUCGGGUGAAGGAACUAGGCAAAAUGGUGCCGUAACUUCGGGAGAAGGCACGCUGAUAUGUAGGUGAAGUCCCUCGCGGAUGGAGCUGAAAUCAGUCGAAGAUACCAGCUGGCUGCAACUGUUUAUUAAAAACACAGCACUGUGCAAACACGAAAGUGGACGUAUACGGUGUGACGCCUGCCCGGUGCCGGAAGGUUAAUUGAUGGGGUCAGCGCAAGCGAAGCUCUUGAUCGAAGCCCCGGUAAACGGCGGCCGUAACUAUAACGGUCCUAAGGUAGCGAAAUUCCUUGUCGGGUAAGUUCCGACCUGCACGAAUGGCGUAAUGAUGGCCAGGCUGUCUCCACCCGAGACUCAGUGAAAUUGAACUCGCUGUGAAGAUGCAGUGUACCCGCGGCAAGACGGAAAGACCCCGUGAACCUUUACUAUAGCUUGACACUGAACAUUGAGCCUUGAUGUGUAGGAUAGGUGGGAGGCUUAGAAGUGUGGACGCCAGUCUGCAUGGAGCCGACCUUGAAAUACCACCCUUUAAUGUUUGAUGUUCUAACGUUGACCCGUGAUCCGGGUUGCGGACAGUGUCUGGUGGGUAGUUUGACUGGGGCGGUCUCCUCCUAAAGAGUAACGGAGGAGCACGAAGGUUGGCUAAUCCUGGUCGGACAUCAGGAGGUUAGUGCAAUGGCAUAAGCCAGCUUGACUGCGAGCGUGACGGCGCGAGCAGGUGCGAAAGCAGGUCAUAGUGAUCCGGUGGUUCUGAAUGGAAGGGCCAUCGCUCAACGGAUAAAAGGUACUCCGGGGAUAACAGGCUGAUACCGCCCAAGAGUUCAUAUCGACGGCGGUGUUUGGCACCUCGAUGUCGGCUCAUCACAUCCUGGGGCUGAAGUAGGUCCCAAGGGUAUGGCUGUUCGCCAUUUAAAGUGGUACGCGAGCUGGGUUUAGAACGUCGUGAGACAGUUCGGUCCCUAUCUGCCGUGGGCGCUGGAGAACUGAGGGGGGCUGCUCCUAGUACGAGAGGACCGGAGUGGACGCAUCACUGGUGUUCGGGUUGUCAUGCCAAUGGCACUGCCCGGUAGCUAAAUGCGGAAGAGAUAAGUGCUGAAAGCAUCUAAGCACGAAACUUGCCCCGAGAUGAGUUCUCCCUGACCCUUUAAGGGUCCUGAAGGAACGUUGAAGACGACGACGUUGAUAGGCCGGGUGUGUAAGCGCAGCGAUGCGUUGAGCUAACCGGUACUAAUGAACCGUGAGGCUUAACCUU
rnacentral:rRNA from 1 species